rnacentral:tRNA from 1 species
GGUGCUACUGCCCUGCCCGAUCGGGUUACCGCUGCCAUCGGUGAGGGUCACGGUGCUGUUCGGUUCGGCGGUACCGCUG